AAACAAAAUUUGUAUUAUAUAUUUGUUUCUCCCAAAUACCAUGAGCGUGGUAUAUCUACUUCCAAGUGUUCGUGCUGCUUCGUAUGUCCUUCGAUGUGUAUAGAUUAGCAAUUACAUUUUUCAACUCCAAUAUCCUAAUCAAGAAAAGUUUAGAUCUGAGGAUACAGAAUGACAAUGAAAUAUGUAAUUUCAACCUAUCGCAUAUCCCUAGGACGUGUCACCUUGUGGAAUUUGGCUAUGACAGAUAUUUGACUAUGUAAUUUCAACCUAUCGCAUAUCCCUAGGACGUGUCACCUUGUGGCAUUGGCUAUGACAGAUAUUUGACUAUGUAAUUUCAACCUAUCAUAUAUCCCUAGGAUGUGUCACCUUGUGGCAUUUAGCACACUCACGUUUUGACAAUGUCCUUAACAAAUUCUCCAGAAUGAUAAUUAGUACUUAAGCUAUACGUUUUAGGUUGUCCUAUAAUAGUACUUGCUUAGGCCUUAUUUAUUACUAAAUAAAAAUCUUUGAUUCAUCCUAAUAUUUUUUUGUUUUUUCAAUGUUACAUAAGCACCGUCUAUGACUGUUAUUGUUUUAUGUCUUUAUGCAAUAAACAGCUGGUUGCCCUCUCUCU